UACGUAGGGUCCGAGCGUUGUCCGGAAUUACUGGGCGUAAAGAGCUCGUAGGUGGUUUGUCGCGUUGUUCGUGAAAACUCACAGCUCAACUGUGGGCGUGCGGUCGAUACGGGCAUCACUGGAGUUCGGCAGGGGAGACUGGAAUUCCUGGUGUAGCGGUGAAAUGCGCAGAUAUCUGGAGGAACACCGGUGGCGAAGGCGGCAUCCUGGACCAACACUGACGCUGAGGAGCGAAAGCUAGGGGAGCAAACGGG
rnacentral:rRNA from 1 species